AAAAAAAAUAAUAAUAAUAAUACAACAAAAACACCAUCAGAAGAUAAAUAUCUGAUAAAUCAGAGAUCAAUAGCUAACAACACAUCAAUCUUCAGCUAGCAAUUCCAAAGCUACUCUGUUAGCUAUUAGGGGAAAAAAAUGAUCCGUAGUCGGACGCAAGAAACUUCAAGUAAAAUUCAACUUCUCUAACCAAAAAUUGGCAGAGAAAGAAAAUCCUAGCAACAAUAUGAGAACCUGCUAGGUUUUUCCCCUCCAUAUGUCAAUCAGAACUCAAAAUCACGCGCGAAUUUGGAAUUUGAAGUCACCAACUUAGAAAGCAAAGAAUGUUAGCUAUGCAAGACAAAGCCACAAAGUAAGAACUUGGAAUUCAAUACCGCAACAAACAAUUGAGCAUCAGAAAGAGUGAAGAUGAAGAAACGAGCGAAGAUACAGCACAUAUACAGAUUAAAUUAAAAUUUUUACUUCACACAAGAGAAAUUGUACAGACAUCUUUGAAUUGAAGGAAGCCGAG
rnacentral:misc_RNA from 1 species